rnacentral:rRNA from 1 species
GAACGACUCUCGGCAACGGAUAUCUCGGCUCUCGCAUCGAUGAAGAACGUAGCGAAAUGCGAUACUUGGUGUGAAUUGCAGAAUCCCGUGAACCAUCGAGUCUUUGAACGCAAGUUGCGCCCGACGCCUUCUGGCUGAGGGCACGCCUGCCUGGGCGUCACGC